UACGGAGGGGGCUAGCGUUGUUCGGAAUUACUGGGCGUAAAGGGCGCGUAGGCGGAUAGUUUAGUCAGAGGUGAAAGCCCAGGGCUCAACCUUGGAACUGCCUUUGAUACUGGCUAUCUUGAGUUCGGGAGAGGUGAGUGGAAUGCCGAGUGUAGAGGUGAAAUUCGUAGAUAUUCGGCGGAACACCAGUGGCGAAGGCGACUCACUGGCCCGAUACUGACGCUGAGGCGCGAAAGCGUGGGGAGCAAACAGG
rnacentral:rRNA from 1 species